AACUCUUUUACAAGUGAAAAUAAGAAUGUAAUCAAGUGUUGUUAUAAUUUUGGUAAUAUAUUGGAAGACCGGAGAUCACCUAGCUAAAGCCAUUUUUGAAGAUGGAUAAUCACUAAAAGUUAGCCACUGUAGGAGACUACCUUAACCUUAAGUGGAACUUCAAUAAGGAGACCCAAGGUCACCUAAGGUCCUAAAUCAAUGAAAUAUUAACCUUAUUAAUCUAUAUAGGGAGACCAUUGAUCACAUUAAGUGAAAUAUCCAAAAGGAGUCCAGAGGCCUGACCUUUAUGCAUUUUUGAAGAUGGAGAUUAAUUCACCAAAAGCAACUGUAGGGAAUAAGUGGCCACCUUACUUCGAACACCAAUAAGGAGAACAGAGGUUACCUUAGGUAACCAAUUAAAUAAUUUUGUUAAUCUAAAGUGAACUACUUAUAAUGACAGCAGAGUUCAUCUUUGGUCCUAGAUAACUGAAUUAAUAAUUUUUUUGUUAAUCUAUAGGGAGACCAGAGGUCACCUGUUAAGGAGGUUCGAUGAUCGUGACCAUUUUUAUACUAUAUUGAUCUCCUUUAUAAUAAAAUUCUUUAUAAAGAUAU
rnacentral:sRNA from 1 species